GCGGAGACAAAUGUUUCCGUUCACUCCUCACACCACACUCCGCCCGGGCAUUGUUCGGGCGGUU
rfam:Cyanobacterium endosymbiont of Epithemia turgida isolate EtSB Lake Yunoko DNA, complete genome.